rnacentral:rRNA from 1 species
AUUGAACGCUGGCGGCAGGCUUAGCACAUGCAAGUCGAACGAGUGGCGGACGGGUGAGUAAUGCCUGGGAAACUGCCUGAUGGAGGGGGAUAACUACGGGAAACGGUAGCUAAUACCGCAUACCAUCGGAUGUGCCCAGAUGGGAUUAGCUAGUAGGUGGGGUAAAGGCUCACCUAGGCGACGAUCCCUAGCUGGUCUGAGAGGAUGACCAGCCACACUGGAACUGAGACACGGCCCAGACUCCUACGGGAGGCAGCAGUGGGGAAUAUUGCACAAUGGGCGCAAGCCUGAUGCAGCCAUGCCGCGUGUAUGAAGAAGGCCUUCGGGUUGUAAAGUACUUUCAGCGAGGAGGCGUUACUCGCAGAAGAAGCACCGGCUAACUCCGUGCCAGCAGCCGCGGUAAUAC